UACGUAGGGGGCGAGCGUUGUCCGGAAUUAUUGGGCGUAAAGAGCGUGUAGGCGGUUCGGUAAGUCUGCCGUGAAAACCUGGGGCUCAAACCCCGGGCGUGCGGUGGAUACUGCCGGGCUAGAGGGUGGUAGAGGCGAGUGGGAACUCCUGGUGUAGCGGUGGAAUGCGCAGAUAUCAGGAAGAACACCGACGGCGAAGGCAGCUCGCUGGGACGGUACUGACGCUGAGACGCGAAAGCGUGGGGAGCAAACAGG
rnacentral:rRNA from 1 species